rnacentral:rRNA from 1 species
UACGUAGGGGGCGAGCGUUGUCCGGAAUCAUUGGGCGUAAAGCGCGCGCAGGCGGCUCGGAGAGCCCGGCGUGAAAGCCCCCGGCUCAACCGGGGGAGGCCGUCGGGGACCUUCGGGCUGGAGGCCGGCAGGGGGGAGUGGAAUUCCCGGUGUAGUGGUGGAAUGCGUAGAGAUCGGGAGGAACACCGGUGGCGAAGGCGGCUCCCUGGGCCGGUCCUGACGCUGAGGCGCGAAAGCGUGGGGAGCGAUCCGG